GUCAAAACACGUGCAACUUGUCGAGAAUUGUUUGCUUUCACGCCGAAAAUUUACCGCGAGACUAUUUCCACAGGUGAUUUUUGACUUUUUAAUUUUUGUGAAAACACAUGCAGCUGAAAUAAAAAAAUAUAUCUAAAUUUUGUAUAAUUGUAGAGUAGAAUGUGUAUGACGGAAAUAGAGUACUUGACUUCGUUUAAUAGAGUAAUAUGCAUAGAAAUAGUACAACCUUUAUAGUAGAAUAUAAACCAAAUACGCUAUAGUUUUAGUCAAUCUCUGAAUCGAGCACAUGUAAAUAUCAUCAUGCGCAUGCGCUAAAGUCCUGAGCUAUAUACUGUAUACUGGAAUGUUCAUAUUUCUUCGACAUCCUCCGGGGGGCGGCGUAAGAUCUUCGUCCAUUCUGAAAUUCUGUUGGCUGCUCUCGCGGCUGAGGUUCUUACGGGUCUGUUUCUAACCGUUCUCUCUUGUUCAGUUGAAUUAUUGACAACUAGGUUUUCUUGAUCACAGUUGCUUAUGUCCCUUUCCUCGACUUCGUUCGUUGACAGUUCUAGUGGGUACAAUUUGCAAAUUGGUCUGUUUGUAUACCCUGUGCUUGUUCGAAUGUUCGCUGCUCGGACCAAGUUAUCACCUCCUCGAAUGAGAUCUUCAACAACUGCUAGUUUCCAGGUGGACCUUGGGCUGUCGUCAUGGACUAGAACUACGUCUCCUUUCUUAAUAAUCUGCUUAUUGUCUCCGCUAGAACGAUGAAACUCACGUAACGAGGUUAAAUAUUCGUGCCUCCAUCUUUUCCAGAACCGUUGUAAAAUGAUAGCUUGUAGUUUCACUCGGCGUCGAAUAUCUGACUCACUUCCAUAAUCUGGAUCUGUUAGGUCAUCCUCGGAGACAGGCGUAUCAAACGGUAAUGACGUGAUUCUUCUUCCGUACAAUAAGUGUGACGGUGUUAGUGGCUCUUCAUCGUUUAUAUCACUUGACACGAACGUAAUUGGACGAUCAUUUAGGAUGGCUUCUACCUCAACAAUGAGGGUCUGGAGUUCUUCUAGUGUUACGGAUGCUCUACCGAGUGUCUUCUUUAGUGCAGUUUUUGUCAAUCCAAUUAAACGUUCCCAAAAGCCCCCAUACCAGGGCGCUCGCUUCGGUAUAAAUUUCCAUUCGACUCCUUGUCUGCUGAAGGCUUCCUUAAGUGAUGGCGAUUCGAAUAAUUCUUUCAGGGUUUCUGCUGAAGCUACGUAGGUGGAAGCAUUAUCUGAAAUCAUGGUAAGGGGUAGAGAUUUACGACUCGAGAAACGGCGAAAUGCCAAAAGAAAUUUCUCCUCUGAUAGAUCUGAGACGAUUUCUAGGUGAACGCUUCUUGUAACUGCACACGUGAAAAGACAUAUGUAAGUUUUUGCUUCACCGAGUUGGGUUCUGACAUAGAGGGGUCCGCCAAAGUCUACUCCCGUUACUGCGAAUGGUGCUCUUUCUUGGACUCUAAUCUUUGGUAGAGGUGCGGAGUCUGGUGUUUUGAAAGGGGUACCAGUAACUUUGCGACAGGUGACACAACGUCGAAGUAACUUCUUUACAUAUUGACGUAUGGCAGUUAUCCAGUAGCUUUGUCGAAGUGCAGUAACUGUAGCAUUGAUUCCAGAAUGCAUUUGUUUAUGAUGGGUGUCUUGUACGAUCAGUUCAGUAAAUGUACAGUUUUUCGGGAGUAAGUAUGGAAAUCUGGCCAGUUCACUAAGUGGGGCAUUAUGAAUCCUCCCGCCGCAACGAAGAAAUCCAUCGGGAUCUAGGAAUAAGCGAAGCUGUCGUACCAAGGGCAGGCGAGUAGAGGAUGAUGAUGUGAGGUUAGCGAUUUCGUUGUUGUAAUGUAGGGUUUGACAAUUUUGGAUCCAUACUUUCAAUGCUGCCUGUUUUUCUGUUGCGGAAAUUGGUCCUACAACUCUUCGCUUGUCUUUACGCAUGUUCUGUACAAACCGAUAGACAUAGGCAGUAACAGAUAGUAGUUUUGUUAAUGAACUGUAUCGAGAUGUAUCAAUAAUGAGGUGAAUUCCCGAAUUCGCGUCGUUUGGAGUGGUUUCGCUGGGAAUGGUUGUGGAUGGUUCUGUGUCAUUUUCUUCGAAGAGGGAUAGGUUUAUGGUGCGUGAGGGAUUCCACAGUGGCCAUUCUGAUUCUUGUAGUAACCAUGUUGGUCCAUUCGUCCAUAGAGAAGACGACUGUAAUUGGGAUGAUGUAAUUCCACGGGUGAGCAAAUCAGCCGGGUUUUGAUCAGUUGGGCAGUGGUUCCAAGUUGAUUUAGGAAACAUGUUCUUUAUUUCGUUAAUGCGAUGUAGUAUGAACUGUUUUAGGGGUUUGCUGCUGUUGAUCCAAUGUAGCACUAUUUCACUGUCAGACCAAAGUUUUACUCUUAGGUUGGGAUAUCUGGAACUGAGGGUACAAGAUAGGAAAUUGGCUAAUCGUGUUCCGACUACAGCGGCCAUUAAUUCUAAUUGAGGAAGAGUUAGUUCCUUCAAGGGUGCAACCCGAGAUUUUGCCAUGAUGGGCGAUGAUUGGUUCCCGUUGGUAAGGUACGCCACAGCUCCAUAUGCCUUGGGGCUUGCAUCAACAAACACAUGGAUGUAUGUUGUGGAAAUAGGUGCAGGAGUUUGGGAAAGGUAUCUUCUUUGCAUGCAAACGUUGGUUGCUUCUUGUAAGUCCCUUGCAAUAUUUAGCCAUUUGGUUUUGAGUUCAAGAGGUAGUGGUUCAUCCCAUUCCAGUUCGUUCUGCCACAGUUCUUGCAUUAGUAGUUUUGCUUUGACAGUUACAGGAGAUAAAAGUCCAAGAGGGUCGUAGAUCUUGGAAGAGAUUUGUAAUACGUGACGCUUAGUGAUAGUUGGGGGUGGUGUGUAAUCCUGUGCUGGUGGGAAACUUAGAGUAUCUGUUGAUGGAUUCCAUUUCAAACCGAGGAUGUUGACAAUGGUUUUAGGAUCAGCUGUUCCAUCUUUUGUAGCAAUUUCUUGAAGUGAUGGACUAUUUGAUGCCCAAGAGUGGAGAUUGAAAUGUGCAUUAUGCAUAAUAGAUCUGGCGUCGUUGUAGUACAGAAUACUGUCCGUUUCUUGGUCACAACCAGAGAUUAUGUUGUCAACAUAAAUAUUGUCCUUUAUGUCUUGAGCUAUAGGGAGGUCGUAGUUUUCUAGGUGGCAACGGAGGGUAGCAUUCAACAUGAAGGGGGAGCUAGUUGAUCCAAAAAGGACGGUCUUGAAGCGGAAGAUAUCAAAUUUGCUCUCUGGGUUUGUAGGGUCUGAGAGCCAAAGGAAUCUAGUGAAGUCUCGGUCACUGUCAUCGAGUCCGACAUGGAGAAAGGCCUUCUCAAUGUCUGCUGAUAUGCCAUAGGUGAAUGUACGAAACCGCAGUAAAAUGGCACACAUGUCAUUCAGAAACGGUGGACCAGUAAGAAGACAGUCGUUCAGACUAGGAAAAUUUGGUGAUGAGUGAAAGCUACAGUCGAAAACAAUUCUGACUGGUGUUGUUGUUGAUUCCUUUCGGAUAGGGUGAUGUGGGAUGUAAUGUGCUUUGUUGGUUAGUUUGGUUUCUUCGACUUUCUCAAUGAAUCCUCGCUUAGUUUGUUCUUCAAUAAUGUCGCCAUAACAUUUCAGCAAAUCAGGGGUAGCGGCAAGUCGAUGGAUCAUCGCUCGAGUGCGACGCUCACAUGCUAGGUAGUUGUCUGGGAGGGUUGGUGCAUCAUCUUUCCAUGGGAAUUUUGCUGCGUAACUGCCAUUUGGGUUUCUGGUAAUAGAGGUGUUGAUGUAAUUUUCCAGGAAAUCUUGUUGGUUUUCAGUGCAGGAUGGCGGAGUGAUGCCAAUAGAUUCGAGGGACCAGAAUCUUUCUAGAUCAAGUUCUGUUCUUUUGGUGGAUCUGACUGUCUGCAACAGGCUCACAAGGGUGUUGGAGGGUUUGGAAGGUGUUGGUAAUGGCCCAGAGAGAAGAUAACCAAGUUUUGAUGCAACAGCAGUGGGUCCCUGACCACGAAUCACUUCAUCUUCUACUAUAUCCCAGUAAUGGUCGGCUCCGAUAAGCAAUGAUAUACGAAAGUCCUCUUGAGCUGUAAUAGGAUGGGCUAGGGUUAAAUUCUUCAGGUGGGGCAUAUCGUUUAUAUGUUGACGAGGUGGAAUUUGGAGGGGCGUUGCUAUCUCCUCAACUACAAGAACUUGUAAUGGAAUUUGUUGUCCAGUACGGGUGAUGAUAUAAACAGUAGCAAGUGGUAGGUGACGUCUAGCUGAGGUUUGGGCUCCAAAGGCUGAUAGUGCAAUUUCCUCUGUUUUGGAGGACAUAACUCCAAGCUGGUUUGCUAGGUCAGUAGUAAUAAAAGACCGUUGAGCUCCUUCAUCAAGAAGAAUAUUGGCAUCACAAUGAAGUUGCCCAGUGCUCACAGUUGCAAUGGCUGUUUUCAAAAGUGAAACAUGUCUUACUGUUGGAGAAUGGGUGGAUGGGACCAGAGUUGCAUGGGUGGGUGUUGGCUGUGGUGUAUUUGGAGUAGUGGGAAGGGCUUGUUGAUUGUUGGGAUUUUGGUGGAAGGGAGGGGGUGGAGGUGUUAAUGGAGGGAGGUUAGGAGGCAUCAUUGAAUGAGGGCAUAGGGUGGUGUGGUGUUUCCCCUUACAUUUCAGACAACGGAACUUGGAUUGGCAGUUUGAUGACUUAUGAUUUCCCAAGCAAUUGAAACACAGUUUUUCCCUUUUCGCGAUUGUCCACCUCUCUUGGCAAUCCUUUACAACAUUACAAUUGUAGGUGGGGUGAGGACCCUUGCAAUAUACACAUCGUUUAGUAGUGUGUCCCGGUUUGUAUCUUGUGGUAUGAUGUUGGUUUCCUUGUGUUUGUGUGAAAAACGAAC